rnacentral:rRNA from 1 species
UACGUAGGGUGCGAGCGUUAAUCGGAAUUACUGGGCGUAAAGCGUGCGCAGGCGGUUCGUUGUGUCGGUGGUGAAAUCCCCGGGCUUAACCUGGGAAUGGCCAUGGAAACUGGCGAACUGGAGUGCGGCAGAGGGGGGUGGAAUUCCGCGUGUAGCAGUGAAAUGCGUAGAUAUCUGGAGGAACACCGGUGGCGAAGGCGGCAUCCUGGACCAACACUGACGCUGAGGCGCGAAAGCUAGGGGAGCAAACGGG